UAAAACAUCUCAGCAGCCAGGAGCCUCCGUGCAAUCAGAAUGAGAACACUCUACACAGGUCACGGGAUGUUGUUGACGUGACAGGAUCAGUGAUUCUGCAGAUUGUUUCAGCCUUGGCAGGAUGGGCACUGGGCACUGUGGGUCCCAGGGCUGAUUGCUAAAGGUGGAAUGAAAGGUGCUUUACAGGUGGAAAGGAAAUUUGAGGUUAUCCGAGACCAAGAGAGUGUGGAUUUUCCCACUUAGCUUUGGCCUGACCAUGACCUUGGGCCUUGACAAAAAUGGUGGAGGAGGUGGAGUGAGAAGAAAAGAAAUCACGGAAGAAAAAGGCUGCAGUUUGGUUGGCAGGAUCUGGCAAAUCUUUACUGAACUUCUUCAGGGAGUCUCUUUGUAGACAAUUGUUCUUGAAGGAGUCACUUGUCCUGAAACUUAUGCAGGCGUAUCCAGAAUGCAGGGGCUGCAGCAAAGCAACUGGCGCUUCAGGCCAAGUGAAUCCCAGCAUUCAGCUGUGCUCUCCAAAAACAGAUGUCGAUGUCAAAGACAGAAGAAAGAGUAGGCAACAGGCUGUAAGUCUGGAUUGGGCUACCGGGAAGUGCUCAGGGAGGUGAAAGAGAGAAAUGUGUGGAAUGAUUUUCUAAGUGUCUACGGCUCAUAUUGAGGGAAGCCAUGGAAACUAUGGCAUGGUUUCUAUGUGGGGAAAACCUGCUUUAUUAGGUUGUAUUUCAGAAUUUUUGAAAAUUCUGUUAGUGAUUUUUAUUACUGAUUUUUCUAUUGUUAUAGUUAUCAUUGUUGUUAACAUGGUCAGAAUUCCGUUAUGGAAUCACAUGUCAAAUUUUAUGUCUCAUUUCCUUGGGGCACUACUGCUAGGCUUCAGGACAAGUCAUGUUCUAAUUUAUCAUCUAUAAAGACUCCUUUGGGUUCUGCUUCUCAGACAACCACUUCUCCAGUGAGUUGUUCCGUUUUUCUCCAUCUCUUUACCUCCAUGUUACCCCAAGUGACAGGGAAGAAAAAGAACAACUCUCACUACUAGUAAGAUCCACCCCAAGCCUACUCUCACACAAAAUAUUCCAAUUUAGGGCCCUGGGAGCCACACCCAAUACACAGGGCUACGAAGCUGUCCAAGAUUCACUGCAAGUGCCACGGAUGAGAGCAGCAGUCAUAUUUUCUGGUAUCCGGUAUUCCGUAAUGUCAGGGCACGCUUUGCAAUAGCAGAGAGGUGGCUGUGGAACAGGGGCGAGGGACAGGUUGCUAAAGGAAAUUGGCAGGUAGAUGACUUAGAUAAACCACAAGGUUUUCCCACAUCUGUCUCUCAGCCAGCCUCCAGGAGUGGUUUCUGCAUAGAAUGUAAUCAGGAGGAAGAAUCCAGAUACGUGCCUGGACCUUCUAGCAGCUUUUCAUCAGUGUUUUCCCAUUUUAGGGGCAGCAAGCUCAUAAUUACCUGUCUUCAGCUUUCUGCUAGAAUUCAGGGGAGGGCAGCAGGAAAAUUGAUUGAAGGAUGUGAAACACGGUGUCCUAUUUCCAACAUGGAUUAUCCUAAUACAACACAGACACUGUAAGAAAGAAGACUAUUUGUCGCAGAAACUGAUUUUUAACAACUGUGGAAGGGAUCUUCCAAAGCCUGUAUGGACUUUCUUUGCAGGAAAUGACAACAGUUCAGGUUGGAGAGGACUGACAGCAGCUUUUCCAAAGGGGCUUCAUCCUAUUCAGGUCCUCUCAGGGUGUCUUAGAGGGACAUGGAGGCAGCAUGGCUGGUUUUCCUUUCCCCAUGGCAUACGCCAAGGCAAAGGCAGGAGUGAAUACAAUUUCUCUGUCUUUCCUUCAAAUGGAAGAAUCAUCAGGCAUGAAAAAGGCCUCCAGGUUCAACGUGAUGAGAAGGUAGAUCUUUCAUGGAAUUUUCUUUUAUUUUCUAAGAUCCUGGCCAUAAACAAUGGUCUGAUACAAGCAGGGACAUCGAGAUCAUUUCAAAACACGGUCUCCCUUCCCCUUCUCCUGUUCAGUUGUUUACCCCUCUCCAGAACAUCCUACCCCUUCUCCUCCGGCCUCUUGUCCACGAGCUCACCCUCCCACAUGGGGGUCCAUUGUUGUGGGUCCUGGGCCUGCAGAGGCUGCUCUAACUCCAGUUACACCCUGAGCAGCUCCACCCACGCCUGGCUCACUGAAGACACAGGCUGAGCCUCUGUUCCCUAAUUUGUAGCUGUUUGCAGCACUGUCUUUGUUCCUUUCUGCAUCCUCUGCUCUCUCAUCUCUUGCUCUCUGGACUAAAACUUGGACCUGCCUCAUUCCCAUGUUCUCCUGUGAUUUUUUAGUUUCCUCCUGGGAGAGAUGCCUAAACAAGUUUUGUGGAUAAGGAGCAGUGAGCUGCCUUUGAGAGCUGGAAGAAUCCCAAGAUCUGCAUGUAAGAAAGCUCCAACCAGCUCUGCGAGUCAGUGAUUUGCCUGUCAUGCCUGGCAGCGAAUGAAUGAGCAGAGGAAAGACAAGAUGCAAGUUUCACUAAUUAUAAUUCAUGAACAAUAUUUGGACUACUUUAAACACAAUGACUGUUACCAGCAA
rnacentral:lncRNA from 1 species